rnacentral:tRNA from 1 species
UCCCUUAUAGCUCAGUGGGUAAAGAAUCUGCCUGCAAUGCAGGAGACCCGGGUUCAAUCCCUGGGUCAGGAA